GAAACCCGGUGAUCUAGCCAUGGGCAGGUUGAAGGUUGGGUAACACUAACUGGAGGACCGAACCGACUAAUGUUGAAAAAUUAGCGGAUGACUUGUGGCUGGGGGUGAAAGGCCAAUCAAACCGGGAGAUAGCUGGUUCUCCCCGAAAGCUAUUUAGGUAGCGCCUCGUGAAUUCAUCUCCGGGGGUAGAGCACUGUUUCGGCAAGGGGGUCAUCCCGACUUACCAACCCGAUGCAAACUGCGAAUACCGGAGAAUGUUAUCACGGGAGACACACGGCGGGUGCUAACGUCCGUCGUGAAGAGGGAAACAACCCAGACCGCCAGCUAAGGUCCCAAAGUCAUGGUUAAGUGGGAAACGAUGUGGGAAGGCCCAGACAGCCAGGAUGUUGGCUUAGAAGCAGCCAUCAUUUAAAGAAAGCGUAAUAGCUCACUGGUCGAGUCGGCCUGCGCGGAAGAUGUAACGGGGCUAAACCAUGCACCGAAGCUGCGGCAGCGACACUAUGUGUUGUUGGGUAGGGGAGCGUUCUGUAAGCCUGUGAAGGUGGCCUGUGAGGGUUGCUGGAGGUAUCAGAAGUGCGAAUGCUGACAUAAGUAACGAUAAAGCGGGUGAAAAGCCCGCUCGCCGGAAGACCAAGGGUUCCUGUCCAACGUUAAUCGGGGCAGGGUGAGUCGACCCCUAAGGCGAGGCCGAAAGGCGUAGUCGAUGGGAAACAGGUUAAUAUUCCUGUACUUGGUGUUACUGCGAAGGGGGGACGGAGAAGGCUAUGUUGGCCGGGCGACGGUUGUCCCGGUUUAAGCGUGUAGGCUGGUUUUCCAGGCAAAUCCGGAAAACCAAGGCUGAGGCGUGAUGACGAGGCACUACGGUGCUGAAG
rnacentral:rRNA from 1 species